CAUAAACGUAUUUCAAAUACACCUAAAAGCAUUUCAAUGUAAACAAUGUCGAAUCAACACGAUGAAUUUUAUUUAUCUAAAGGGAAAUCUCUCCAGCGAAAAGCAAACACGUCCCGAGCAAAAGACUACUGAGGGAUGAAUGGCUCACUGAACUAGAAAAUAAUUGAUAUAAUCAAGUCUCUUUGCCGGUGGUCUCUUGUGGUGCUAAAUCCUGUAUAUGAUGUGUUUACAAUAUCAAUAGAGGACGGUAAACGUGUCUAACAUGACGGUGGUGUACUGUUAUAGUCGUGCAUGCCACCUCCUUCUUUUAAUAUCUUGGUUAGUACUACUAUUACUACCAAUUUCCCAACACCCUUUGGUAUAGUUUUUUUUUUUUUAUUUAGACUUCCCACUACUCUUUAUCUACCCAAUUGAACACUUUGGAAUAAAGAUAGAAAUAAAUAAUAAUAAUAAAAGUGUACCUGACGGAUAAUAAAAUUGAUUACAUAAAGUGUAA